GACGAACGCUGGCGGCGUGCUUAACACAUGCAAGUCGAACGGAAAGGCCCUGCUCUUGUGGGGUGCUCGAGUGGCGAACGGGUGAGUAACACGUGAGUAACCUGCCCUUGACUUUGGGAUAACUUCAGGAAACUGGGGCUAAUACCGGAUAGGAGCUCCUGCUGCAUGGUGGGGGUUGGUAAGUUUCGGCGGUUGGGGCUAGACUCGCGGCUUAUCGGCUUGUUGGUGGGGUUGUGGCUUACCAAGGUUUUGACGGGUACCCGGCCUUGGAGGGUGCCCGGGCACAUUGGGACUGAGGUACGGAGCAGACUCGAACGGGAGGCAGCAGUGGGGAGUAUUGCGCAAUGGGGGGAAGCCUGAUACAGCAACGCCGCGAGCGGGAAGACGGCCUUCGAGUUGUGAACAGCUGUCGCCUGUGACGAAGCGUGAGUGACGGUAAUGGGUAAGAAAGCACCGGCUAACUACGUG
rnacentral:rRNA from 1 species